rnacentral:rRNA from 1 species
GACAGAGGGGGCAAGCGUUGCUCGGAAUCACUGGGCGUAAAGCGCACGUAGGCGGAUUGUUAAGUCGGGGGUGAAAUCCUGGAGCUCAACUCCAGAACUGCCUUCGAAACUGUCGAUCUUGAGUUCGGGAGAGGUGAGUGGAACUGCGAGUGUAGAGGUGAAAUUCGUAGAUAUUCGCAAGAACACCAGUGGCGAAGGCGGCUCACUGGCCCGAGUACUGACGCUGAGGUGCGAAAGCGUGGGGAGCAACAGG